CUCUGCUACGGGACAUUCGUCCCAGAACCCACGCCCUCCAGUGCCCUCUGCCGGGCCAUACCAUUGUGACCAGGGUUCUGGCACCCAGCGCGGAUGGACUGACUGAACUAAAGUUAAUUCUCCGCCUCCUGUCCUGUGGUUAGACUGAAGGCUGUGGUUUCAGACGUGUUUCCCGUGUGGCACAACCCGCAGCUCGGACUCCAGACCCCACAGCUCCCUGUCCAGGAACCGGGCCAGCUCACCUGCAAUUACAGAAGGAUCGCAGACCAGGAGCAGACUGUCAGGGGACUCUGGCCAUGUCUGCACACAUUUUUGGUUGUCAUGCUAGAAGAGGGAAGCCACCAGCAUCCAGGAGGCAGAGACCAGCGAUGCUGCUAAACGUCUGUGCGCAGGACGGCCCACAGCAAAGCAUCAGCUGUGCUGGGCUUGAGAAGUCUUGCUUAAAUGAGGAUGCUCCGAGUUCAUGCGUCACAGAGCAUCUUAUCUAUGAUUUUUGUUCAGGAGGAAAUUGAAGAAGGGACAGAACACAAAACAGCCUCAUUGCUCUGUUGAUUAACAAGGGGAGCUGGGCCUCCGAACCCCUGACCCCACUCUUCGGACUUGGUGCAAGAGAGAAAGGGAGCUGGACGUUCAGGAGAGGUCUAGGCAGACGUUGGCCAAGUGUGGAGUACUGGCUUUCGUAUAACUUAGAUAUCAGCUACCAAUAGAAAAAAACAGAUUCAAGGAUUAAUCAAAGCCUAAUAAAAUCCAUUUCAAACCACUGCAGUGCAGGGUCGAG
rnacentral:lncRNA from 1 species